rnacentral:rRNA from 1 species
AACGAACGCUGGCGGCAUGCCUAACACAUGCAAGUCGCACGAGACCUUCGGGUCUAGUGGCGCACGGGUGCGUAACGCGUGGGAACCUUCCCUUAGGUUCGGAAUAACUCCCCGACAGGGGUGCUAAUACCGGAUAAUGUCUUCGGUCCAAAGAUUUAUCGCCUUUGGAUGGGCCCGCGUUGGAUUAGCUAGUUGGUAGGGUAAACGCCUACCAAGGCGACGAUCCAUAGCUGGUCUGAGAGGAUGAUCAGCCACACUGGGACUGAGACACGGCCCAGACUCCUACGCUAGGCAGCAGUGGGGAAUAUUGGACAAUGGGCGAAAGCCUGAUCCAGCAAUGCCGCGGGAGUGAUGAAGGCCUUAGGGUUGUAAAGCUCUUUUACCCGGGAUGAUAAUGACAGUACCGGGAGAAUAAGCUCCGGCUAACUCCGUG